CUCUAGCUAGCUAGCUAGCUAGCUAGCUCUUCUGCUGCCUCAGGUGAGAAACUGAGGAUGUCAGGAAGCAUCAGGCAGCCCCUAAGGAUGAGGUCGUAAUCAAGCUUGAUUGAAACCAUUCCAACUCUAGAAUUUUCAGCUGUGCCAAUCAAUACAUUUUCUUUAAUCUUAAAUUAGCUAGCAUUUUAAGAUCUUUGUUGCUUACAGCCAAAGAAACUUAACUGAUAAAGUCAUUUGGAAGAAAUCCUACUCCAGGUAUACAGGGAACAGAAUUAAUGAGUUCCCAAGAUGAUUGCCUUAUGGUGGCAACAGCAGUUGCCUGGCAGAAGAUAGGAAAUCUGUCUUAAUAGUGCCUUCUAGGACCCAAAUUUGUCCUGCUCUGGUAGAAAUCCUAGAAGAUCAGGAAUACAGGAGAUGCAAUUAGUGUUUAGGAUCUUCAUUUAACAGCACACAUCUGUGUCUUCCCUUGGCAUAAAUACUGGGAGAAUGCAGUACUCAGGAUUUUUAUAUCCUCUUAUUGGAAUUACCCACAUAAUAUAUGAUUUAUUGCCUAUAGACUUCUCAAUUUCUAUGUACACAAUAGCAGCACUACCAUAUUUUUUAAUUCAAAUGAAAUGCAUGAAGAUGUUUGGGUAGAAGUAAUAGAAAAGUUUAGUAAUGAAUAAUGUUUCAUUAUUCUGUCUAUUUUCUGAACAUCAGUCAUUAUCAAAUAUAGACUCAUAAUCAAAUAAUAAUACAUACACCUACAAUAUUUUGAUUAUGAUGUUUUUAGAAACAUACAUCUCUUUUCCCUCCUACUGAUUAAUCUCCUUGCUGUUUAAGCAGCAAAGCUGCUUUCCACUCAGUAUCUCAGGGAAAGGAUAUGACAUGGUAGACAACAGAAAACAAAUGAAACAACUCCCCCACACUCCCCAAAUUCAGGAAACUUCCUGGCAAAAAGCUCACUCCUUUAGGACAAUAGAGAGUCUCUGGGUAGAGCCAAAUUAUAUAAGAGAAACAUCAAGGGUGACUGUUGCUUUCGCCUUCUGGAGAGGAAAAGAUUCCCAGGGGUUUAUAUAGAAAAGGAAGGGGAAAAGAGGGAACAGGGAGGAUGUGGUGGCAGUGCGUUUGGAUGGGUUUCAAAGAGGGAGCCCCAGUUCCAUCAAGGACCUUGGAGCCCCUGGAGGCUUCUCCCUCGGGUUCUGUGGGGCCAAGGAGAGGCGUCCCCUCAAUCCCACCUGGAUUCCCUGCUGGAUCAGCCCUAGAAGGAAGCUUCCUGGGGCUGCUCCCACUUCUGCUUAAGUGUGGCUACACCGUGGAGGGUGGGUCCUUAGGAAUGUGGCAAGGGCAGCAAGAUUGAGGGGGCCAUAGUGGUGCGGGCAUGUGGAGGGGGCA
rnacentral:lncRNA from 1 species